rnacentral:rRNA from 1 species
UACGAAGGGUGCAAGCGUUACUCGGAAUUACUGGGCGUAAAGCGUGCGUAGGUGGUUCGUUAAGUCUGUCGUGAAAGCCCCGGGCUCAACCUGGGAAUGGCGAUGGAUACUGGCGGGCUAGAGUGCGGUAGAGGGUGGUGGAAUUCCCGGUGUAGCGGUGAAAUGCGUAGAUAUCUGGAGGAACACCGGUGGCGAAGGCGGCAUCCUGGACCGACACUGACGCUGAGGCGCGAAAGCUAGGGUAGCAAACGGG